AUUCAUUACCCAGGAGUCCCUGAGGAGAAUGUUAGUCAGUGUCAUAGAGAAAAAGCUACAUUCUGGACAGACACCAGCAGCACUCUACUGAGGAUACUUGGAAGUCUGGUAGGCACUCAGCAGUGCAGACCCAAUACAAAAAAGGGCAAGCAUUGGAUGGUGUGAGCAUGCCAGACGGAAUGAGUGACGAAGGAGGAGCGUUGGCUGUGUAUUUCCUGAAGUAAGAAGACUGAAAGCUAAGAGAGCUUCACUCAACAUGAGCUGAGGGGACCAUUCAUGGAAAUAUGGUUUGAGAGGACAAAGCAACCGUGCUGUGACCAUCAAAGCUGCCAUCUCCUCAGAAAAGUACCCCAGCGCCUGACUUCCCCGCAUGUGCUGUAUUUUGAGUGUCAUUUUCACGCAAUACAAAAAAGUAGCAGCGGGUACACAGAGCUAUACUUUUAAACAAGGAGACCAUGGAAGCCAUCAGAAAAUAUGGGAGCUGAGUGCAUGAAGAAACACGGGGAAACCUUUGAAGCAAAUGGAGGUAGAAGCAGAAGCCACACCCAAGUAAGAUUACUGUGUGGUGAUGUAAGCUGGCUAGACAGAGUGGCAUGGCGCAUUGGAAAUGAUGCUGAACUCGACUACUAAAGCGAGUUUUGAAUGGGCUCAGGAUGCUACAGCCUCUAUUCCAGUGGUUCUCAACCUUCCUAAUGAUGCUUUCUUACAGUUUCCUCAUGUUGUGGUGACCCAACUUCUACAAUAAAAUUAUUCUCAUUGCUACGUCACAA
rnacentral:lncRNA from 1 species